CCCACCCACGUAGGAACACGUUUCUCAACCCGUACACAGGCCCUCCAUUUGCCAGAGAGGAAGAGAAAACACAUCCAGACCCAGGGCCACCUCCUCAGCCAACCUGGAGAAGCUGCUGUCCUCCCCCCACCCACCCGCCUCCCGGCUGCUCCAUCUUGAGGCUGCUCCUCAGGCCCUGGCCACUGGCCCAUCCACCUCCUGGAGCUUUGCCAGGUGCUCCUGGGCUGGGCUCUGCAGCCCAGAUGCAGCUAUGUCCCAGGACCCUCCUCACGUCUUCCGCUUGCCCCAAGGGCUGCCCGGCUCACCAGGGUCUGCGUGCUCACUGGGCCUUACCAGCCCCUUGAGUCAGGAGCCUGCUUCCCCACCUGCCCAGAACCUGGGAUGGCACCCCAACUCCUUCCUCCCCCCAACAGGUCUCCAACUGCCUGUGAGCUCAGAAGGACCUCUGAACUCGGCCCCCAGCCCCCACUUCCUCCAACUGGCCACCACAGCAUGCACCAGGUCUCCAACCGCCCGUGAGCUCAGAAGGACCUCUGAACUCGGCCCCCAGCCCCCACUUUCUCCAACUGGUCACUACAGCAUGUACCAGGGUCUCCAACCGCCCGUGAGCUCAGAAGGACCUCUGAACUCGGCCCCCAGCCCCCACUUCCUCCAACUGGCCACCACAGCAUGCACCAGGGUCUCCAACCACCCAUGAGCUCAGAAGGACCUCUGAACUCGGCCCCCAGCCCCCACUUCCUCCAACUGGCCACCACAGCAUGCACCAGGGUCUCCAACCACCCAUGAGCUCAGAAGGACCUCUGAACUCGGCCCCCAGCCCCCACUUCCUCCAACUGGCCACUACAGCAUGCACCAGGUCUCCAACCACCCGUGAGCUCAGAAGGACCUCUGAACUCGGCCCCCAGCCCCCACUUCCUGGAACUAGCCACCACAGCAUGCACCUGGUCUCCUGCCCCAGGGACUGCCAGGGCACAUGUGCCAACUGCAGCCGACCCCAUCACCCCGGCACGCUGUCCCUGCCACCAGCGCCCUCCAGAUCAGGCUGUCUCUGCCCCACUCCCGUCACAGACACGGGCCUGGUCCGGGAGCGCUCCCUGCUGGCACCUGGGAAAGCAGCUUUCAGGGACAUACACCUGGGGGUGGGGCUAGAGCUGCAGAGUGACACCCAGGGCGGCAAGGCGGCCGGUGGCCCUGACAGGCUCCCCAGCCCUCACGGGGAGAGACGCAGGAACGCAGGCACCAGAGCCCUGGUCUGAGAGGCCAGAGGCUGGUGGCGGAAGAGGAAGAGCAGCUCAGAGGGAGGGGCUUGCUCUGGCCACAGGGUCCCAGUGAAGUGGCCGAAGACGACGCAGCCAAGCACAGCCAGGAGCACAUGGGGCUCUGAGGGUCCCCUGCUCACGCACACAGGGUGCUGGGAAGGGCUGGGAGGGGACCCACAGACGCAGGGGCUGGACGGGGCCAUGAAGGCAA